rnacentral:tRNA from 1 species
GCUCAGGUGGCGAAAUGGUAGACGCUGAGGACUUAAAAUCCUUUGGCCGCAAGGCCGUGCGGGUUCGAGUCCCGCCCCGAGCACCA